rnacentral:rRNA from 1 species
GAUGAACGCUGGCGGCGUGCUUAACACAUGCAAGUCGAACGGUGAAGGCGGAGCUUGCUCUGCUGGAUCAGUGGCGAACGGGUGAGUAACACGUGAGCAAUCUGCCCCUGACUCUGGGAUAAGCGCUGGAAACGGCGUCUAAUACUGGAUACGAGCUGCGAAGGCAUCUUCAGCAGCUGGAAAGAACUUCGGUCAGGGAUGAGCUCGCGGCCUAUCAGCUUGUUGGUGAGGUAACGGCUCACCAAGGCGUCGACGGGUAGCCGGCCUGAGAGGGUGACCGGCCACACUGGGACUGGGACACGGCCCAGACUCCUACGGGAGGCAGCAGUGGGGAAUAUUGCACAAUGGGCGAAAGCCUGAUGCAGCAACGCCGCGUGAGGGACGACGGCCUUCGGGUUGUAAACCUCUUUUAGCAGGGAAGAAGCGAAAGUGACGGUACCUGCAGAAAAAGCGCCGGCUAACUACGUG